AAAUAGAGAGCUGCAGUGGCAGACCUGUAGCAAAAGAACUGUCGUCCUGUCGUUGAUCAGACAUAAUGUCUAACCUCGUUCUUCUCCUGUGGUUACUUGAACCAGUUUGCCCUUGUUUUGUGGCAUUUUCAAUCAAAUGCGAGUAAUACUAAAAUGAAAAUAGCUGUACGAGGACCCGGGAUUGUGAUGAAUCAUGCUUGCUGUGUUCAGAGAUUAUCAACAGAAUCAAGGACUCAUCCCUACAGCCAUCCCAGUGUGUGGAGAAGUGGAAUGCAAGGAUCAUCACCACGUUAAGAGCUUGUUGGGAUGAAAAUACAGAGCAGAGACUGAUUUUCUUCUCUGUGAAAAAGUGGUUAAGAGAAGCAAGCCAUGAAGGCAAGCUACCCCUUUAAACUGGUGUGAGAAAUGACUAAGUAAUUAGCCGCGUAUGUAGAUUCUGCAAAGAUAUGUGGUAGAAGGACCCAAGCAUGAUCAGACUAUGGCACCUCAUGAAAAGACCUGGAAUAUGGAACAGACAAGUCGUUCUCUCCCUUGCCGUGAAAUCCAGCCACCAGGAGGAAACUACUGGAAUCUGAAAUGAUACACUACAUGCUCCGUUGCUUGGCACCAGACGAUAAACAACCGUGACCUUGUUGUAUAUGCCCCAGUAGGCACAGUAGAUCUUGGACAACAUGGUGAGCAAACUGGAAAAAUAUGUUGAUCGUUUGGAGGGACUGGUGCAGUUGGUGGCAGAGAAAAGGAAGAUAGAUGAGCUCUUGUCAUCAGUGUUGCCUGGAGUUAUUGACUGACACUCUAUAUAAAUGUGUUGCUAAUCAAAAGUGUUGCUCUAAUACUUGAAAUUAAGAAACAAAAGCCAAUGGAGGAUGUAAAGGAAUAUCAGAAGCAGGGGAAGAAAUAGGAGGGCAAUAUUGGUCAGCAUGAUGGGUAGUGAUCUCCAUGCAUCACUUUCCCUGUUUCCUACUGAAGUUUUGGAAAAUGCUUUCAGUAACUUCUGCCUAUUUACAAAACAAAUCAGGCCAAAUGAAGGAAAUGGAGAGCAAGAAACAGUGCUCACAAUAGAAAUUAUCCCUUUUCCUCCUCCUUUCCAGCUUCACUGGAGAGAGCAGCUUAUUGCUUGGUGGAGCUGCAACUUGUGUUCUCUCAGCAUCCCCCUUCAAGUGGUCAGUCUCCUGAGUGACCUGUACAGCCUCUUCUAGAACAUCCUUAAAACACAUGGUGUUUGGCAUUUUCUGGCAAUUGAGCAAAUAGUCAUGGAAUAGCAAAGCUUUCAUCGUGACUCUUCUGCUGGCCUUGGAGAUGGACCUCUGCUAUUAUAACUCAGUAGGAAGGUUAGUAGCAAAUGCAUUUUUAUAGUCUAUUCAUGGGUGUGAGGAGAAAAAUGGUUUCCCCAUCUGCCAAAGAAAGUUGUGAAGAGGUUGAAGAUCUCUCCUAGGAAAAAAAGACUUAAUAGAAUUUCAAUUUAGUCCAGUAAAAGACCAUUGAUACAGUAACUUCAAAACAUUUUGGUGUCAUCCUUCUUUUCUUUACAUUUUGGAAAAUAGCCACUGCAAGAUUUAAGGUUCAAAUUUAUUUGCACCCUGCACUCCACAUCUAGAGUAUGCAAUAAGUAGCUGCGCUCUUUUUGUCGCUAAAGAUAGAAACCACUGGUGAUGCUUAUGUGGUGGCUAGCAGCCUGCCUGUCUGCAGUGGGAUCAACCCCGCUGAAGAAAUAGAUAUUAUGUCUGUGGAAUUCCUGAGUGCUGCGAUUGCUUUUGAGAUAGGCCAUUUACCCAGAGAGAAGCCGAAAUGGCCUGUUUGGCCUUGACGCAGGUGAGCAGCCUGAGCCUGGCUGGUUGUGAGCUGAGGGUGGAGGUACAUCAGAGGGUAAGGAUUGUCACCCACUGAGGCACGGCAGCACACCUGCCGCAAGUGUGAGGUAAAACUUGUUGGUCCAAACUACUUCCAGGUGAUUAACCUUUGAGUUUUACCUUAUGUUUGCUAUGGGUGCUUGUGAUUUGUUACUCUGGGUCA